UGCAUAACAGUCAUGUUCUUUUGAAAUUAUGCUCCAAAUGUUAUGAUUUGUUGGCGAAAUAGGCCCCCAGGCAAAAUAUGUUUUCCUUGGUCAGCUUAUUUGCAC